rnacentral:rRNA from 1 species
ACGAACGCUGGCGGCAGGCUUAACACAUGCAAGUCGAGCGCAUCCUUCGGGGUGAGCGGCAGACGGGUGAGUAACGCGUGGGGAUAUGCCCAGAGGUGGGGAAUAACUGUGGGAAACUACAGCUAAUACCGCAUAAGCCCGAAAGGGGAAAGAUUUAUUGCCUUUGGAUUAACCCGCGUCAGAUUAGCUAGUUGGUAGGGUAAUGGCCUACCAAGGCGACGAUCUGUAGCUG